CAGUAGCCGCGGGAAUACCGAGGGUGCGAGCGUUAAUCGGAUUUACUGGGCGUAAAGCGUGCGUAGGCGGCUAAUUGAGUCGGAUGUGAAAUCCCCGAGCUUAACUUGGGAAUUGCAUUCGAUACUGGUUAGCUAGAGUGUGGGAGAGGAUGGUAGAAUUCCAGGUGUAGCGGUGAAAUGCGUAGAGAUCUGGAGGAAUACCGAUGGCGAAGGCAGCCAUCUGGCCUAACACUGACGCUGAGGUACGAAAGCAUGGGGAGCAAACAGGAUUAGAUACCCCCGUAGUCCCUGUCUCUUAUAC
rnacentral:rRNA from 1 species